UACGUAGGCAGCAAGCGUUGUUCGGAGUUACUGGGCGUAAAGGGUGCGUAGGCGGCUUGGUAAGUGUGGUGUGAAAUCUCCCGGCUCAACUGGGAGGGUGCGCUACAAACUGCUGUGCUGGAGUGUGGGAGAGGCGCGUGGAAUUGCAGGUGUAGCGGUGAAAUGCGUAGAUAUCUGCAGGAACACCCGUGGCGAAAGCGGCGCGCUGGACCACUACUGACGCUGAGGAACGAAAGCUAGGGGAGCAAACAGG
rnacentral:rRNA from 1 species